rnacentral:rRNA from 1 species
UACAGAGGUCUCAAGCGUUGUUCGGAUUCAUUGGGCGUAAAGGGCUCGUAGGCGGUUUGUCACGUCGGGCGUGAAAACUCAGGGCUCAACCCUGAGCGUGCGUUCGAUACGGGCAGACUAGAGGUAUGCAGGGGAGAACGGAAUUCCUGGUGUAGCGGUGGAAUGCGCAGAUAUCAGGAGGAACACCGGUGGCGAAGGCGGUUCUCUGGGCCGAAACUGACGCUGAGGAGCGAAAGCGUGGGGAGCAAACAGG